AUCUUGUCAACGCUAAUAUGGAUGGUUCUUUGUCUAAAUUCACAACUUCGACUCUGUUCCUUUACUGCAAUUAUUGCGAUCAUUAUGUCUUUAGCUCCCCUCUGUCUGUGAUGCAGACUUGUCUAAGGAUAUGGAAUUGGGAAAAUUUACACUUGGAAAGUAGGCAACAAUGUCUCGUUAUUGUAGAAGGGGGUUUUGCAAUGAAUUUCUUUAUGCUUGCAUUAUGUUUCUCAUCUCUGUAUGCAUUUAAUAUGUUGUCAUAGUGGUUCUUAUUUGGAUCUCAGGGAUGCGAGUGUGUUCCAUCGAGUAACGAGUACAAGAUUGGCAGCAUGGCUUGGUGCUUACUAAAAGGGGGUCUCGUUGCAGUGUUUUGAUUCUCUGAUUCUGUUGGUGGUUAUUUCAGAUGUUUGUGAAAUCUAUCUAUCUUUUUUUGCUUCUUUCAUUGUUCCAGAUAGAUAGACCUGCAAGAUCCUUGUCAUUUUGGUUCUUGAUAGCUUCGGAGAAUGAGAUGGCGAUGAUCUAUCAAACGCUAAUAUCGAGGGUUCUUUGUCUAGAUUCACAACUUCAACUUACUAUUCCUUUACUGCCAUUAUUGCGAUCAUUAUGUAUUUAGGUCCUCUCUGUCUAUGAUGCAGACUUGUCUAGGAAUAUGGAAUUGGGAAGAUUUGCACUUGGAAAGUAGGCAACAAUUUCUCAUUAUUUUAGAAGGGGGUUUUACAAUGAAUGUCUUUAUGCUUGUGUUAUGUUGCUCAUCUGGUGUAUGCAUUUAAUAUGUUGUCAAAGUGGUUCUUAUGUGGAUCUCAGGGAUGCGAGUGUGUCCAUCGAGUAACGAGUACAUGAUUGGCAGCAUGGCUUGGUGCUUGCUAAAAGGGGGUCUCGUUGCAUUGUUUUGAUUCUUUGAUUCUGUUGGUGGUUAUUUCAGAUGUUUGUGAAAUCUAUUUAUAUUUUUUUGCUUCUUUCAUUGUUCCAGAUAGAUAGACCUGCAAGCUCCUUGUCAUUUUGGUUCUUGAUAGCUUCGGAGAAUGAGAUGGCGAUGAUCAAUCAAACGCUAAUAUCGAGGGUUCUUUGUCUAGAUUCACAACUUCAACUUACUAUUCCUGUACUGCCAUUAUUGCGAUCAUUAUGUAUUUAGGUCCUCUCUGUCUAUGAUGCAGACUUGUCUAGGAAUAUGGAAUUGGGAAGAUUUGCACUUGGAAAGUAGGCAACAAUGUCUCAUUAUUUUAAAAGGGGGUUUUGCAAUGAAUUUCUUUAUGCUUGUGUUAUGUUGCUCAUUUAGUGUAUGCAUUUAAUAUGUUGUCAUAGUGGUUCUUAUUUGGAUCUCAGGGAUGCAAGUGUGUUCCAUCGAGUAACAAGUAUAAGAUUGGCAGCAUGGCUUGGUGCUUGCUAUAAGGGGGUCUCGUUGCCGUUUUUUGAUUCUUUGAUUCUAUUGGUGGUUAUUUUAGAUGUUUGUGAAAUCUAUUCAUCUUUUUUGCUUCCUUCAUGUUUCCAAAUGGAUAGACCUACAAGGUCCUUGUCAUUUUGGUUCUUGAUUGCUUCAGAGAUUGAGAUGGCAAUGAUCUAUCGAAUGCUAACAUCGAGGGUUCUUUGUCUAGAUUCACAACUUCAACUCUCUGUUCCUUUACUGCAAUUAUUGUGAUCAUUAUCUAUUUAAGUCACCUCUGUCUGUGAUGCAGACGUGUCUAGGAGUAUGGAAUUGGGAAGAGUUGCACUUGGAAAGUAGGCGGCAAUUUGUUUCAUUAUUGGAGAAGGGGGUUUUCCAAAGAACUUUCUCUAUGCAUUUGUUAUGUUGCUCAUCUGGUGUAUGCAUCCAAUAUGUUGUCAUAGUGGUUCUUAUUUGGAUCUCAGGGAUGCAAGUGUUCCAUUGAGUAAUGAGUACAAGAUUGGCAGCAUGGCUUGGUGCUUGUUAAAAGGGGGUCUCAUUGCAGUGUUUUGAUUCUUUGAUUCUGUUGGUGGUUAUUUCAGAUACUUGUCUAGGAAUAUGGAAUCAGGAAGAUUUGCACGUGGAAAGUAGGCAACAAUUUCUCAUUAUUUUAGAAGGGGGUUUUGCAAUGAAUUUCUUUAUGCUUGUGUUAUGUUGCUCAUCUGUGUAUGCAUUUAAUAUGUUGUCAUAAUGGUUCUUAUUUGGAUCUCAGGGAUGCGAGUGUGUUCCAUCGAGUAACGAGUACAAGAUUGGCAGCAUGGCUUGGUGCUUGCUAUAAGGGGGUCUUGUUGCAGUGUUUUGAUUUUGUUGGUUGUUAUUUCAAAUGUUUGUGCAAUCUAUUUAUCUUUUUUGCUUCUUUCAUGGUUCCAGAUGAUAGACCUGCAAGGUCCUUGUCAUUUUGGUUGUUGAUCGCUUCGGAGAAUGAGAUGGCGAUGAUCUAUCAAUUGCUAAUAUCGAGGGUUCUUUGUCCAGAUUCACAACUUCAACUCUUUGUUCCUUUAAUGCAAUCAUUGCGAUCAUUAUCUAUCCCGAUCACCUGUCUGUGAUGCAGACUUGUCUAGGAAUAUGGAAUUGGGAAGAUUUGCACUUGGAAAGUAGGCGACAAUUUGUCUCAUUAUUGGAGAAGGGGGUUUUCCAAAGAAUGUUCUUUCUUUAUGCAUGUGUUAUGUUUUGCUCAUCUGGUGUAUGCAUCCAAUAUGUUGUCAUAGUGGUUCUUAUUUGGAUCUCAGGGAUGCAAGUGUUCCAUUGAGUAAUGAGUACAAUAUUGGCAGCAUGGCUUGGCCCUUGCUAUAAGGGCGUCUCGUUGCAGUGUUUUGAUUCUUUGAUUUUGUUGGUGGUUAUUUCAGAAGUUUGUGAAAUCUAUUUAUCUCUGUUGCUUCUUUCGAUAGAUGGACCUGCAAGAUCCUUCUCAUUUUGGUUCUUGAUCGCUUCGGAGAAUGAGAUGGUGAUGAUCUAUCAAACGCUAAUAUCGAGGGUUCUUUGUCUAGAUUCAGAACUUCAACUCUCUGUUCCUUUACUGCAAUUAUUGCGAUCAUUAUGUAUUUAGGUCCUCUCUGUUUGUGAUGCAGACGUGUCUAGGAAUAUGGAAUUGGGAAGAUUCACACUGGGAAAGUCGGCGGCAAUUUGUCUAAUUAUUGGAUACGCAAUUUGUCUCAUUAUUGGAGACGGGGUUUUUGCAAUGAACGUUCUUUCUUUAUGCUUGUGUUAUGUUGCUCAUCUGGUGUAUGCAUUUAAUUUGUUGUCAUAAUGGUUCUUAUUUGGAUCUCAGGGAUGCGAGUGUGUUCCAUCGACUAAUGAGUACAAGAUUGGCAGCAUUGGCUUGCUGCUUGCUACAAGGGGGUCUCGUUAUAGUGCUUCGAUUCUUUGAUUCUGUUGGUGGUUACUUCAGAUGUUUGUGAAAUCUAUUUUGUGUUUGGCUUUUCAGGUUGGCGAUGGAUUAUUGCCGACUUCAAAAGCUUCGUCCCAGCAAAUAGACGAUGCCAAGUCCCAAACAAUGUAGGGCUGGUACGUGUUUAGGGAAGAGAACAUGGAGCGGUUGAGGAUCUAGAAUGUGGGGGAUGAUACUCGUUAAUUAUGAGCCGCACCUUUGAAACUGAACCGCCAUUAGCAUGAAGGGUUGUGCCUUUGCUGGAGUUGCUCUUUGUGAACAACUCAUUUAUUGAGUAGUUUUGGUUCUGUCAUGGUUUUAAAGCAGAUACCCCUCUGGUCAGUUUUGUGCCUUUAGAGAACUAGACGGUCAUAUCCAUAGCCUCUAUCUCUCCACCAAAAAAAAAAAAAAAAUGAAAAAGGGAGAAAACAAAAGAGGAGAAAUUAUUUUAGUUCUUUUUUAUUGUUGGAAAGUGUUGGACAGCCAAAAUCCUCGGUCAAUUUGGUCCUCAAUGUCUUUUGAAGAAUCAAAUGAUCAUCUUUUACUGCAACUACUGUGAUCAUUAUGUAAUCUGGAUGUGUUUGUUUGGCCUCUUGGCUGUGUUGCAGACUUGUUGAGUUUUUAGGAAUUUGGACUUGAGAAGAUUCCUGUUUGCACUCGAAAGUUGGAAGUAGGCGGCAAUUGGUCUCAAUACUGUAGAACAGGGUUUCUUAGAAAUUUACUUCGGUUAUGCUCGUGUUAUGUUGUGCACAUUUGAUGUGGUGAGUUUUCUCAGUGGGUCUAGUCUGAUUUGGAUCUUGGGGCGCUAUAUAAUUGGACUAUCUAUUGAUGAGCACACAACUGGCAACAUGGUUUAUUGCUUGCGAAAGGGGGCGUGUCAUUGCAGAGUUUCUUCUAUUCUUCAUUUGUAUGGUUCGUUUAUAUCAUCAGAUUUCGUGAAAUCUACGUGUAUGCUUGGCUUUUCAGGUUUAGGCUUGCGAUUGAUUAUUGCAGACCCUAAAGCUUUAUCCAUCUUACCUGUAAAGAAUGGAAAAUAAAAAGAUAAAAAAGCUUUAUCGAUGAAAAGAGAGAGAAGACGCUCAACUCCCAGAACAUAUGGUAGUUGUUGAUUGCAGCAGAUAUUCAACUGCCGCCUUGGAGGAAGAAAUAUUAGUCCUUUUUUAACAAGAUCCGCUCGGAGCUGUUGAUUGCAACAGAUUCAGCCACUGCCUUGUUUUAUCUAAGAAAGGGGGUUUCUUUGAUGAGUUUUGCUAAAUCUGGAUCUCUUUUGGUAGCUCACAUGUUUGGUGAAUCUACGUUGAGUACCUCUGUUGGUUUCUUCGUUCUUCAGGGAGAGCAAGAUUUGUGGGGCCUGCAAUAGGAGAGUGCAACCUUUCCUAUGAUUGUAGAAGGGGUUUUUUCUACUCCUAUAAGUGUUCUUUGGCUGUGCUUAUCUGUUGCUCGUUUCUGUAUGUAUUCAGUAUGUAGGAAUUUCUAAGUUGCUCUGAUUUGGAUCUCAGGGCUGUGGAAUCAUCUUUAUCCAUCAAUUAGAACUGGAUUCGGCUACAUGGUUUAUCGCUAAGGGGGGUUUCAUUGCAGAAUUUCUUCUCUUUGGUUCCGUUGGUGUGUUUUGUCAAAUUUUCAUGAAACUACGUGCCGUGUUUGGCCUUUCAGGUUGUUGUUGGCAAUGGCAGUGGAUUGUUGACGACUGUAAGAUGCGAAACUAUAGAUGGACCUGCAAGAUCCUUGUCAUUUUGGUUCUUGAUCGCUUCGGAGAAUGAGAUGGCGAUGAUCUUUCAAACGAUAAUAUCAAGGGUUCUUUGUCUAGAUUCACGACUUCAACUCUCUGUUCCUUUACUGCAAUUAUUGCGAUCAUUAUGUAUUUAGGUCCUCUCCGUCAGUGAUGCAGACGUGUCUAGGAUCAUGGAAUUGGGAAGAUUCGCACUGGGAAAGUUGGCGGCAAUUUGUCUCAUUAUUGGAGACGGGGUUUUUGCAGUGAACGUUCUUUCUUUAUGCUUGUGUUAUGUUGCUCAUCUGGUGUAUGCAUUUAAUCUGUUGUCAUAAUGGUUCUUAUUUGGAUCUCAGGGAUGCGAGUGUGUUCCAUCGACUAACCAGUACAAGAUUGGCAGCAUUGGCUUGCUGCUUGCUACAAGGGGGUCUCGUUAUAGUGCUUCGAUUCUUUGAUUCUGUUGGUGGUUACUUCAGAUGUUUGUGAAAUCUAUUUUGUGUUUGGCUUUUCAGGUUGGCGAUGGAUUAUUGCCGACUUCAAAAGCUUCGUCCCAGCAAAUAGACGAUGCCAAGUCCCAAACAAUGUAGGGCUGGUACGUGUUUAGGGAAGAGAACAUGGAGCGGUUGAGGAUCUAGAAUGUGGGGGAUGAUACUCGUUAAUUAUGAGCCGCACCUUUGAAACUGAACCGCCAUUAGCAUGAAGGGUUGUGCCUUUGCUGGAGUUGCUCUUUGUGAACAACUCAUUUAUUGAGUAGUUUUGGUUCUGUCAUGGUUUUAAAGCAGAUACCCCUCUGGUCAGUUUUGUGCCUUUAGAGAACUAGACGGUCAUAUCCAUAGCCUCUAUCUCUCCACCAAAAAAAAAAAAAAAAAAAAAGGAGAAAACAAAAGAGGAGAAUUUAUUUUAGUUCUUUUUUAUUGUUGGAAAGUGUUGGACAGCCAAAAUCCUCGGUCAAUUUGGUCCUCAAUGUCUUUGAAGAAUCAAAUGAUCAUCUUUUACUGCAACUACUGUGAUCAUUAUGUAAUCUGGAUGUGUUUGUUUGGCCUCUUGGCUGUGUUGCAGACUUGUUGAGUUUUUAGGAAUUUGGACUUGAGAAGAUUCCUGUUUGCACUCGGAAGUUGGAAGUAGGCGGCAAUUGGUCUCAAUAUUGUAGAACAGGGUUUCUUAGAAAUUUACUUCGGUUAUGCUCGUGUUAUGUUGUGCACAUUUGAUGUGGUGAGUUUUCUCAGUGGGUCUGGUCUGAUUUGGAUCUCGGGGUGCUAUAUAAUUGGACUAUCUAUUGAUGAGCACACAACUGGCAACAUGGUUUAUUGCUUGCGAAAGGGGGCAUGUCAUUGCAGAGUUUCUUCUAUUCUUCAUUUGUAUGGUUCGUUUAUAUCAUCAGAUUUCGUGAAAUCUACGUGUAUGCUUGGCUUUUCAGGUUUAGGCUUGCGAUUGAUUAUUGCAGACCCUAAAGCUUUAUCCAUCUUACCUGAAAAAAAAAAGAAAAAGCAAAAGAAAUAAAGAGAGAAAAAAGCUUUAUUGAUGAAAAGAGAGAGAAGAGGCCCAAGUCCCACAACAUAUGGUAGUAGUUGAUUGCAGCAGAUAUUCAACUGCCGCCUUGGAGGAAGAAAUAUUAGUCCUUUUUUAACAAGAUCCGCUCGGAGCUGUUGAUUGCAACAGAUUCAGCCACUGCCUUGUUUUAUCUAAGAAAGGGGGUUUCUUUGAUGAGUUUUGCUAAAUCUGGAUCUCUUUUGGUAGCUCACAUGUUUGGUGAAUCUACGUUGAGUACCUCUGUUGGUUUCUUCGUUCUUCAGGGAGAGCAAGAUUUGUGGGGCCUGCAAUAGGAGAGUGCAACCUUUCCUAUGAUUGUAGAAGGGGUUUUUUCUACUCCUAUAAGUGUUCUUUGGCUGUGCUUAUCUGUUGCUCGUUUCUGUAUGUAUUCAGUAUGUAGGAAUUUCUAAGUUGCUCUGAUUUGGAUCUCAGGGCUGUGGAAUCAUCUUUAUCCAUCAAUUAGAACUGGAUUCGGCUACAUGGUUUAUCGCUAAGGGGGGUUUCAUUGCAGAAUUUCUUCUCUUUGGUUCCGUUGGUGUGUUUUGUCAAAUUUUCAUGAAACUACGUGCCGUGUUUGGCCUUUCAGGUUGUUGUUGGCAAUGGCAGUGGAUUGUUGACGACUGUAAGAUGCGAAACUAUAGAUAUACCUGCAAGAUGCUUGCCAUUUUGGUUCUUGAUCGCCUCAGAGAAUGAGACGGUGAUGAUAUGUCAACGCUAAUAUGGAUGGUUCUUUGUCUAAAUUCACAACUUCGACUCUGUUCCUUUACUGCAAUUAUUGCGAUCAUUAUGUCUUUAGCUCCUCUCUGUCUGUGAUGCAGACUUGCCUAGUAAUAUGGAAUUGGGAAGAUUUUUACUCAGAAAGUAGGUAACAAUUUCUCAUAAUUGUAGAAGGGGGUUUUGCAAUGAAUUUCUUUAUGCUUGUGUUAUGUUGCUCAUCCAGUGUAUUCAUUUAAUAUGUUGUCAUAGUGGUUCUUAUUUGGAUCUCAGGGAUGCGAGUGUGUUCCAUCGAGUAACGAGUACAAGAUUGGUAGCAUGGCUUGGUGCUUACUAUAAAGGGGUCUCGUUGCAGUGUUUUGAUUCUGUUGGUGGUUAUUUCAGAUGUUUGUGAAAUCUAUUUAUCUUUUUUGCUUCUUUCAUGGUUCCAGAUGAAUAGACCGGCGUGGUCCUUGUCAUUUUGGUUGUUGAUCGCUUCGAAGAAUGAGAUGGCGAUGUUCUAUCGAAUGCUAAUAUCAAGGGUUCUUUGUCCAGAUUCACAACUUCAACUCUUUGUUCCUUUACUGCAAUUAUUGCGCUCAUUAUCUAUCCAGAUCACCUCUAUCUGUGAUGCAGACUUGUCUAGGAAUAUGGAAUUGGGAAGAUUUGCACUUGGAAAGUAGGCGGCAAUUUGUCUCAUUAUUGGAGAAGGGGUUUUCCAAAGAAUGUUAUUUCUUUAUGCAUGUGUUAUGUUGCUCAUCUGGUGUAUGCAUCCAAUAUGUUGUCAUAGUGGUUCUUAUUUGGAUCUCAGGGAUGCAAGUGUUCCAUUGAGUAAUAAGUACAAGAUUGGCAGCAUGACUUUUCCUUUGCUAUAAGGGCGUCUUGUUGCAGUGUUUUGAUUCUUUGAUUUUGUUGGUGGUUAUUUCAGAAGUUUGUGAAAUCUAUUUAUCCCUGUUGCUUGUUUCAUGGUUCCAGAUAGAUGGACCUGCAAGAUCCUUGUCAUUUUGGUUCUUGAUCGCUUCGGAGAAUGAGAUGGCGAUGAUCUUUCAAACGAUAAUAUCAAGGGUUCUUUGUCUAGAUUCACGACUUCAACUCUCUGUUCCUUUACUGCAAUUAUUGCGAUCAUUAUGUCUUUAGGUCCUCUCCGUCUGUGAUGCAGACUUGUCUAGGAAUAUGGAAUUGCGAAGAUUUGCACUUGGAAAGUUGGCGGCAAUUUGUCUCAUUAUUGGAGACGGGGUUUUUGCAGUGAACGUUCUUUCUUUAUGCUUGUGUUAUGUUGCUCAUCUGGUGUAUGCAUUUAAUCUGUUGUCAUAAUGGUUCUUAUUUGGAUCUCAGGGAUGCGAGUGUGUUCCAUCGACUAACCAGUACAAGAUUGGCAGCAUUGGCUUGCUGCUUGCUACAAGGGGGUCUAGUUACAGUGCUUCGAUUCUUUGAUUCUGUUGGUGGUUAUUUCAGAUGUUUGUGAAAUCUAUUUUGUGUUUGGCUUUUCAGGUUGGCGAUGGAUUAUUGCCGACUUCAAAAGCUUCGUCCCAGCAAAUAGACAAUGCCAAGUCCCAAACAAUGAAGGGCUGGUACGUGUUAGGGAAGAGAACAUGGAGCGGUUGAGGAUCUAGAAUGUGGGGGAUGAUACUCGUUAAUUAUGAGCCGCACCUUUGAAACUGAACCGCCAUUAGCAUGAAGGGGUGUGCCUUUGCUGGAGUAGCUCUUUGUGAACAACUCAUUUAUUGAGUAGUUUUGGUUCUGUCAUGGUUUUAAAGCAGAUACCCCUCUGGUCAGUUUUGUGCCUUUAGAGAACUAGACGGUCAUAUCCAUAGCCUCUAUCUCUCCACCAAAAAAAAAAAAAAAAUGAAAAAGGGAGAAAACAAAAGAGGAGAAAUUAUUUUAGUUCUUUUUUAUUGUUGGAAAGUGUUGGACAGCCAAAAUCCUCGGUCAAUUUGGUCCUCAAUGUCUUUUGAAGAAUCAAAUGAUCAUCUUUUACUGCAACUACUGUGAUCAUUAUGUAAUCUGGAUGUGUUUGUUUGGCCUCUUGGCUGUGUUGCAGACUUGUUGAGUUUUUAGGAAUUUGGACUUGAGAAGAUUCCUGUUUGCACUCGAAAGUUGGAAGUAGGCGGCAAUUGGUCUCAAUACUGUAGAACAGGGUUUCUUAGAAAUUUACUUCGGUUAUGCUCGUGUUAUGUUGUGCACAUUUGAUGUGGUGAGUUUUCUCAGUGGGUCUAGUCUGAUUUGGAUCUUGGGGCGCUAUAUAAUUGGACUAUCUAUUGAUGAGCACACAACUGGCAACAUGGUUUAUUGCUUGCGAAAGGGGGCGUGUCAUUGCAGAGUUUCUUCUAUUCUUCAUUUGUAUGGUUCGUUUAUAUCAUCAGAUUUCGUGAAAUCUACGUGUAUGCUUGGCUUUUCAGGUUUAGGCUUGCGAUUGAUUAUUGCAGACCCUAAAGCUUUAUCCAUCUUACCUGAAAAAAAAAAAGAAAAAGCAAAAGAAAUAAAGAGAGAAAAAAGCUUUAUCGAUGGAAAGAGAGAGAAGAGGCCCAAGUCCCACAACAUAUGGUAGUAGUUGAUUGCAGCAGAUAUUCAACUGCCGCCUUGGAGGAAGAAAUAUUAGUCCUUUUUUAACAAUAUCCGCUCGGAGCUGUUGAUUGCAACAGAUUCAGCCACUGCCUUGUUUUAUCUAAGAAAGGGGGUUUCUUUGAUGAGUUUUGCUAAAUCUGGAUCUCUUUUGGUAGCUCACAUGUUUGGUGAAUCUACGUUGAGUACCUCCGUUGGUUUCUUCAUUCUUCAGGGAGAGCAAGAUUUGUGGGGCCUGCAAUAGGAGACUGCAACCUUUCCUAUGAUUGUAGAAGGUUGAGUGUUCUUUGGCUGUGCUUAUUUUCUGUUGCUCGUUUCUGUAUGUAUUCAGCAUGCAGGAAUUUCUAAGUUUCUCUGAUUUGGAUCCCAGGGCUGUGGAAUCGUCUUUAUCCAUCAAUUAGAACUGGAUUCGGCAACAUGGUUUAUCGCUAAGGGGGGUUUCAUUGCAGAAUUUCUUCUCUUUGGUUCCGUUGGCGUGUUUUCUCAAAUUUUCGUGAAACUACGUGCCGUGUUUGGCCUUUCAGGUUGUUGUUAGCAAUGGCAAUGGAUUGUCGAUGACUGUAAGAUGCGAAACUAGAAAUAGAUGGCCAAGAUGCUUGUCAAAUUUUUCCUUAUCAAGGAUAAGUCUUCCGGGUUCUUGGUCUAGAUUCUCCACUUCCAAUAUCCAGUGAAAGGUAUGUGUCUUCCGAAUCCUAACCUUGGAUAAUCUGCAAAAGAGGGGUAUGUGUCUUCCCAACAUCCGUCUCCUUUGCAUUCAGGGCACUGAAUCCAUAGACCAUCUCUUGCAUUGCCCAUAAACUAGCCAGAUUUGAUUCCAGAUUUUGAGAACUUUUAAGUGCAAUGGUGCUGCCCAUAGUCAGUGCUGCAACUAUUAUGGGCUUGGCUCGAAGUGCAUCUUACCAAAGGUCAAGCUGUCCAUGUGGAGGUUAUGCCUGCUUGCUCGUCUGUGGAAUAUUUGGGGAGAACAUGAUGCUUUGUGUUUCGACAACGCCCACAAUUUGGAAGCUAUGCCUACUUGGUAGUCUGUGGAAUGUUCGAGAACAUAACACUUGGUGUUUUGACAAUGCCCCCAGAGAAAUAGAUGGCCAAGAUGCUUGUCAAAAUUUUCCUUAACGUCUUCAGAGAAACAGAUGGUCAUGGUCUUUAUCAAUGAUAAAUCUUCUGGGUUCUUGGUCUAGAUUCUCCACUUCCAAUAUCCAGUGAGAGGGCACCGAAUCCGUAGUCCAUAUCUUGCAUUGCCCAUAUACUAGCCAGAUUUGGUUCCAGUUUUUGAGAUCUUUUAAGUGCAAUGGUGCUGCCCUUAGUCAGUGCUGCAACUAUUAUGGGCGUGGCUGGGAGUGCAUCUUACCAAAGGUCAAGCUGUCCAUGUGUAGGUUAUGCCUGCUUGCUAGUCUGUGGAAUAUUUGGGGAGAACCAUGAUGCUUGGUGUUUCGACAGUGCAAUGGUGCUGCCCUUAGUCAGUGCUGCAACUGUUAUGGGCGUGGCUGGGAGUGCAUCUCAACAAAGGUCAAGUUGUCCGUGUGGAGGUCAUGCCUGCUUGCUAGUCUGUGGAAUAUUUGGGGAGAACAUGAUGCGUGGUGUUUCGACAACACCCACAAUUUGGAGGCUAUGCCUGCUUGGUAGUCUGUGGAAUGUUCGUGAACAUAACGCUUGGUGUUUUGACAAUGCCCACAACUUGGAGGUUAUGCCUGCUUGCUAGACUGGAAUAUUUGGGGAGAACAAUGCCCACAAUUUGAAGGUUAUGCCUGCUUGCUAGUCUGUGGAAUAUUUGGGGAGAAUUUAAUGCAUGGUGUUUCGACGAUGCCCACAAUUCAUGGGAUGAGAUGCCUUUUGAGUGGGCCGCGGUUCUUCUGAACAUUGACUUGAAUUUAUCUCGCUCUAUUCUGUUAAAUUAAUAUCCUCUAUUUUGUUUUUUGGCUGGCUUAUGCUGGUCUGAUUUUUAAUAAAAUUACAUUCAUAGCUCUUUCAAAAAAGAAGUCUCACA